rnacentral:rRNA from 1 species
GGCUGAAAUUCGCCUUCAUGAAGCUGGAAUUGCUAGUAAUGGCAGGUCAGCAUACUGCCGUGAAUACGUUCCCGGGCCUUGUACACACCGCCCGUCACACCAUGAGAGUUGGAAAUACCCGAAGCCUGUGAGCUAACAAACGAGGCAGCAGUCGAAGGUAGAGCCAAUGAUUGGGGUGAAGUCGUAACAAGGUAGC